rnacentral:rRNA from 1 species
CACGUAGGGAGCAAGCGUUGUCCGGAUUUAUUGGGCGUAAAGAGCUCGUAGGCGGUGUGUCGCGUCGGCCGUGAAAACCUGCAGCUUAACUGUGGGCUUGCGGUCGAUACGGGCAUCACUGGAGUUCGGCAGGGGGAGACUGGAAUUCCUGGUGUAGCGGUGAAAUGCGCAGAUAUCAGGAGGAACACCGGUGGCGAAGGCGGUUCUCUGGGAAGUAUCCUGACGCUGAGGAGCGAAAGUGUGGGGAGCGAACAGG